rnacentral:rRNA from 1 species
AUUGAACGCUGGCGGCAGGCUUAACACAUGCAAGUCGAACGAUGACUCUCUAGCUUGCUAGAGAAGAUUAGUGGCGGACGGGUGAGUAACAUUUAGGAAUCUGCCUAGUAGUGGGGGAUAGCUCGGGGAAACUCGAAUUAAUACCGCAUACGACCUACGGGUGAAAGGGGGCGCAAGCUCUUGCUAUUAGAUGAGCCUAAAUCAGAUUAGCUAGUUGGUGGGGUAAAGGCCCACCAAGGCGACGAUCUGUGACUGGUCUGAGAGGAUGAUCAGUCACACCAGAACUGAGACACGGUCCGGACUCCUACGGGAGGCAGCAGUGGGGAAUAUUGGACAAUGGGGGCAACCCUGAUCCAGCCAUGCCGCGUGUGUGAAGAAGGCCUUUUGGUUGUAAAGCACUUUAAGCAGGGAGGAGAGGCUAAUGGUUAAUACCCAUUAGAUUAGACGUUACCUGCAGAAUAAGCACCGGCUAACUCUGUGCCAGCAGCCGCGGUAAUACAGAGGGUGCGAGCGUUAAUCGGAAUUACUGGGCGUAAAGCGAGUGUAGGUGGCUCAUUAAGUCACAUGUGAAAUCCCCGGGCUUAACCUGGGAACUGCAUGUGAUACUGGUGGUGCUAGAAUAUGUGAGAGGGAAGUAGAAUUCCAGGUGUAGCGGUGAAAUGCGUAGAGAUCUGGAGGAAUACCGAUGGCGAAGGCAGCUUCCUGGCAUAAUAUUGACACUGAGAUUCGAAAGCGUGGGUAGCAAACAGGAUUAGAUACCCUGGUAGUCCACGCCGUAAACGAUGUCUACUAGCCGUUGGGGUCCUUGAGACUUUAGUGGCGCAGUUAACGCGAUAAGUAGACCGCCUGGGGAGUACGGCCGCAAGGUUAAAACUCAAAUGAAUUGACGGGGGCCUGCACAAGCGGUGGAGCAUGUGGUUUAAUUCGAUGCAACGCGAAGAACCUUACCUGGUCUUGACAUAGUGAGAAUCCUGCAGAGAUGCGGGAGUGCCUUCGGGAAUUCACAUACAGGUGCUGCAUGGCUGUCGUCAGCUCGUGUCGUGAGAUGUUGGGUUAAGUCCCGCAACGAGCGCAACCCUUUUCCUUAUUUGCCAGCGGGUUAAGCCGGGAACUUUAAGGAUACUGCCAGUGACAAACUGGAGGAAGGCGGGGACGACGUCAAGUCAUCAUGGCCCUUACGACCAGGGCUACACACGUGCUACAAUGGUAGGUACAGAGGGUUGCUACACAGCGAUGUGAUGCUAAUCUCAAAAAGCCUAUCGUAGUCCGGAUUGGAGUCUGCAACUCGACUCCAUGAAGUCGGAAUCGCUAGUAAUCGCAGAUCAGAAUGCUGCGGUGAAUACGUUCCCGGGCCU